rnacentral:rRNA from 1 species
GAUGAACGCUGGCGGCGUGCCUAAUACAUGCAAGUCGAGCGAAUGGAUUGAGAGCUUGCUCUUAUGAAGUUAGCGGCGGACGGGUGAGUAACACGUGGGUAACCUGCCCAUAAGACUGGGAUAACUCCGGGAAACCGGGGCUAAUACCGGAUAACAUUUUGAACCGCAUGGUUCGAAAUUGAAAGGCGGCUUCGGCUGUCACUUAUGGAUGGACCCGCGUCGCAUUAGCUAGUUGGUGAGGUAACGGCUCACCAAGGCAACAAUGCGUAGCCGACCUGAGAGGGUGAUCGACCACACUGGGACUGAGACACGGCCCAGACUCCUACGGGAGGCAGCAGUAGGGAAUCUUCCGCAAUGGACGAAAGUCUGACGGAGCAACGCCGCGUGAGUGAUGAAGGCUUUCGGGUCGUAAAACUCUGUUGUUAGGGAAGAACAAGUGCUAGUUGAAUAAGCUGGCACCUUGACGGUACCUAACCAGAAAGCCACGGCUAAUUACGUGCCAGCCGCCGCAGUAA